rnacentral:lncRNA from 1 species
ACUUCCGGGAGGAAGCGCCCUCCUGGGUCCUGGGCUUCAGGGUGGGCUCGCGCCCCUCCCGGCUCGGGGUCUGCAACUUUCCACCUCUGCGUGAAAAGUCUGGGCAGGACCGUGACUAGUGCUUCGUGCUUUUACCUGACUGUACGCGGAGUUUAGGAAUGGAGGGCUCUGGUGGCCUAAUCGAUUGGGAUUUUAUCCAGAAUGUUAAUAAAUGAAGUGGGCUUUGGUGUCUGCAUUAGAAUGAAUUCGUUGUUGAAAAACCUGGCUUCCUUGCUCCCUUUUUUUUUUUCUUUUUUCUGGAAGCGCCUGUGGGCGUGGUGCUGGAAGCAAGGGUGCAAAGAUGAAACACCUGGAGAUCACCCUUCUCUCAACCACAUUUUGUACAGAAGAGGAUACUAACUUUGGGGGACAUAAACCCAGCCGACCUGCCUUCCAGGCGGAAGUCAAAUAAUUGCAAAUUUGUGUGGCAGGUUUUUCCACCCUAUGCUUGCCAGCUGAGGCGACUUUUUUCUUUCCUUGGCCUCAUUAUAUUGUGGGGAAUGGUGUUUGCAGUGAAGUUGAAACAAUGGAGAGUACAGAGGAUGCAAGGAAUGUCUGCCUUGUGAACACAGGAAUGCAGAUCUUGGUGGCAGCAAGUCUUAGGCAGGACCAAAUAACUCAGAGAGGGGAGUGGAUGUAUAACUAGUUGUAUCCCUACCUAAGGUCAAAGUUUCUGAAUUCCUUUUCCACAGAAUGGCUGUCAGCUCACAGAUUGAUGCAGCUGGUUACAUUUACAAUAACCACAUUAUUUAAAAUACAAUAUAAUAAAUAUUUGAGACGAAUAUUCAUAAUGCAUAAAUAAUGUAGUACACUUAAUACAUUAUCCCUAAACUUAGCAAUUAUAAUUCGCAAGACAGCAUUAGGGACCUAGUGCUUGCCUAGGCAGACAGUCCCCAAGGCAGAUGCAGCCUGCCUCAUGCAGUUUACAGUCUGACUGAGGGAUGUGAUCAGUUUGUGCGAUUAUAGUCUGAAAGAAGUAAACAAGUAUUUAUCAUGUUAUCACUGUGCCAUGUACUUUCAUUUAAUGGUAUUUGAUGUCAUUUUCAG